rnacentral:rRNA from 1 species
AUACGGAGGGUGCAAGCGUUAAUCGGAAUUACUGGGCGUAAAGCGCGCGUAGGCGGUUUGGUAAGUCGGAUGUGAAAGCCCCGGGCUCAACUUGGGAAUUGCAUUCGAUACUGCCUGACUAGAGUAUGGUAGAGGGAAGUGGAAUUUCCGGUGUAGCGGUGAAAUGCGUAGAUAUCGGAAGGAACACCAGUGGCGAAGGCGACUUCCUGGGCCAAUACUGACGCUGAGGUGCGAAAGCGUGGGGAGCAAACAGGAUUAGAUACCCGAGUAGUCC